rnacentral:rRNA from 1 species
GACGAACGCUGGCGGCGUGCUUAAUACAUGCAAGUCGAACGGAAAGGCCCUGCUUUUGUGGGGUGCUCGAGUGGCGAACGGGUGAGUAACACGUGAGUAACCUGCCCUCGACUCUGGGAUAACUUCAGGAAACUGGGGCUAAUACCGGAUAGGAGCUCCUGCUGCAUGGUGGGGGUUGGAAAGUUUCGGCGGUUGGGGAUGGACUCGCGGCUUAUCAGCUUGUUGGUGGGGUAGUGGCUUACCAAGGCUGUGACGGGUAGCCGGCCUGAGAGGGUGACCGGCCAGAUUGGGACUGAGAGACGGACCAGACUGCUACGUGAGGCAGCAGGCAGGAAGAUUGCACAAUGGGCGGAAGCCUGAUUCAGCAACGCAGCGUGCGUGAAGACGGACGGCGGGUGGUAUACCGCUUGCGCCUGUUAGGAAGCGUGAGAGACGGUAAUGGGUAAAUAAGCACCGGCUAACUACGUG